AAAAAAAGCUGUCGUUAGUGGCACAUGUAGGGCAGUUUGAUUGCUCUAUGUGGGGAACUGACAUCAAGAGAUUUCAGAAGCAUGAUUUUUGAUACCUGGGCAGCUAAGUGAUCAUUAGUCCUGGCACCUGA
rnacentral:snRNA from 1 species